GACAGCAGUCGCCGCGGGAACACGUAGGUGGCAAGCGUUGUCCGGAAUUAUUGGGCGUAAAGGGCUCGCAGGCGGUUUCUUAAGUCUGAUGUGAAAGCCCCCGGCUCAACCGGGGAGGGUCAUUGGAAACUGGGAAACUUGAGUGCAGAAGAGGAGAGUGGAAUUCCACGUGUAGCGGUGAAAUGCGUAGAGAUGUGGAGGAACACCAGUGGCGAAGGCGACUCUCUGGUCUGUAACUGACGCUGAGGAGCGAAAGCGUGGGGAGCGAACAGGAUUAGAUACCCCCGUAGUCCCUGUCUCUUAUAC
rnacentral:rRNA from 1 species